AAUAUAAUAUAUAUUUAUAUAUGAUUAUAUUAUUUAUAAUCAAUACAUUUAUUAUAUGCUCUCCAGUAGUUGUAAUUCCCUUAAGCAUUUAAAUGUGGAUCUUGGUUCUGGUUAUUACAGAGCCAGAAUGCUUUUCACCAGUCCAUUAGCCAAUGCUCCUCCAUUCUGGAAUUAUUUUGAUUGCCUUAUAAUUUGACUGAAUUUUAUGAAUCCGUUGUUUUUUUUAAGAAGGGCUCAGAAGUCCCAAAUUCUGCAGUGUUUUCAUGUUUGAAUUUUAUAUCUAAGCAACUUUUCUUUCCUGUGUAAAAGGAAAAGAUGCUGUCCAUGUACAAUUAUUGAAAAUAACAACUUAGGUCAAAAUGAAGAACUCAGGAAGGGAGAAUUCUGGUGUGAAAGCACUGGCUGACCGCAGCUGGAGCAAGAACCACCUGCCACACUCAUGGCCACCGGGUCCUGGGAGAAUCACCGUGCUGGCAGGAUUCUUCAGGAUACGGUGGUGGGAAUAAGGAAGCAGAACUGACUAUGUUUGAAAGAGUUCAGGAAGCAGAGGGAAAAUGCAGAGGGGCACAAGCUCUCAGGGAGCGGAUUAAAGUCACAUUCUCAGAAAAAAGAGUUGGAAGAUAAGACGGAGGAACUACAAAGACAGCAGGAAAAUGAAGUCUUCAAAAUGAGUCAAGACAAUUAUAUUAUUUGAGCCAAGUCAACAGAUUUGGCGACCACGAAGGGACCCAGAGCAGAAUUUUCUCCACCUGAACUCUCCGAGUAACUGGAGCCUUGGUACAAGCAGUGGCCCUUUGUGCCCAUCCGCCUCCUCUGGGAGUCCAGAUGAACUUGGCUAAGUAAUCUAUCCUUGGAUAAAGAUCCGAUGCCCAUGACCUGUGGCCAGGGGAUUAUGCAUACUGGAAUAGACAUGACAUAAAGAACUGUCUCCAACCUGAAUGAAAGGACCCUUUACCAGGUACUCUUAACUAGACCAUGCACAGUGAAAGCUAAAGGAAAUUGACUUUUGGAUUAGUUUCCAGUCAGAAAGAGCCCCUGCAGUGCACUGGCCUAUAGAGCACUGCUCACCUGAAAACAAUGCUCAAAUGAAGAAAAAUCUACCAGGCCUGGAUGAGAAGAAGAUGACAUCUGAGGUAGACAGCUGACCCAAGACACCGGACCAGCUUUGAAGAAUCAAACAAAAAUCACACGUGGUUGCAUCUUGAGGGAACAUUGGCUCCUGUCACUGAAGAAAAAUUGAAGCAAUUCCAAAAACAAAUAGGAACAAGAGACACUUUUUCAGGGAUGUCAACAGGAAAAUGAAAAAUUGUGUAAUCAAGUGAAAGAUCUCCAAGAACAAAACAAAAAUGAGAAGCGAAUGUUCAAGGAAAACCAGAGCUUAUUCAGCCAGUUUCCUUAAAGAGUAUCAAGAAAGAAAACCUGUUUAUUGGAAGACCUCAAAAGACUGAAGCAAGACCAGCAAGCUCUUGAAGCAGACUUGGAAAAAUGAAGAAAGAGACCAAGCCAGAGAGCAGCAAUAAUUGCAAGAUUGAAGAAAUUCAAAGAUUAUUUUGAAUUUGAAACACUGUGUGCGCAGCUGUUCGCAGUCCUCCCAGCCAGAUCGCGACCUCCCAGGGCCGGUCUCCCUUUUUAUCCCUGGGCCUGAAACGUAAGCUCUCAAGUGCUUGACAGAUGAACAGACAACACCAUGCUGUGUUUGUAGAAGACACGAGGGUGAAUACGGUGUUCCCCACUGGGGGAAACAAAGGAGGAGUAAGCCAAGGAUGCAGAAAAGUAUAAUAUUUAAAAAAAAAAAAUAGAAAUAAACAGGAAGGUUCCAGCAAGGAUUUCAGGGAGGAGAAGCGUCUGAGCUGGGUCCUGGCAGGUGGAGGGCCUCAGGAGGGGAGGCGGGAGGCCUCGCAGCUGUGUCUCGUGGGCGUGUCAUUGAGCGCACCUGGGCCGCUGGCGGGCAGGACACAGGGCCAGAAAGGUCAAUAGGACGAGCCCUUGGGCCAGAGGAAGGAUGUUUUCUCUGUGAUUUUAUGAUCUUCAUUGUAAGAUACAUACAAAGUCCACUAACCUGUUUGUAAGAAAUGUACUUUCCUCGUCUGUAAAAUAGAACAGUAAUCAUUGCUCCCAU